rnacentral:tmRNA from 1 species
CCCGUUGAAAAGCACCGGCCCAGCCCCUAUAUCUCGGCUGUCGGGCAACCGACUAUGGACAUAAACGCGCUCGUAAUAAGCGGCUCGGACCCGGGGGCGGUACCCGGCGGCUCCACCAAUCAUCCUUCGUUUGGGGAUCAUGGGGCCGAAAUAGGAUCGACGGACGUCUAAAGGGGUUUGCUUUGUCUCGGUGAGGUACCACCGUUACCGGUCCGAAAAGUACAAUUGCAAACGACAAUCGUGCUCCGGUUGCUCUGGCUGCGUAAGCAGUUCGAGGAAUCGAAACUUAAGCCCUAGGUUCUAGCAAAUCUAGGCGGGGUCCGCAGGCACCUGGCAACAGAAGCCUGCAUU